rnacentral:rRNA from 1 species
UACGUAGGGUGCAGGCGUUAAUCGGAAUUACUGGGCGUAAAGCGUGCGCAGGCGGUCUCUUAAGACAGGUGUGAAAUCCCCGGGCUUAACCUGGGAACUGCGCUUGUAACUGAGAGGCUAGAGUGUGGCAGAGGGAGGUGGAAUUCCACGUGUAGCGGUGAAAUGCGUAGAGAUGUGGAGGAACACCGAUGGCGAAGGCAGCCUCCUGGGCCAACACUGACGCUCAUGCACGAAAGCGUGGGGAGCAAACAGG